GAUGAACGCUAGCGACAGGCUUAACACAUGCAAGUCGAGGGGCAGCACGGGAGUAGCAAUACAACUGGUGGCGACCGGCGCACGGGUGAGUAACGCGUAUGCAACCUACCUAUCAGAGGGGAAUAACCCGGCGAAAGUCGGACUAAUACCGCAUAAAACAGGGGCACCGCAUGGUGAUAUUUGUUAAAGAGAUUCGCUGAUAGAUGGGCAUGCGUUCCAUUAGGUAGUUGGUGAGGUAACGGCUCACCAAGCCGACGAUGGAUAGGGGAACUGAGAGGUUGGUCCCCCACACUGGUACUGAGACACGGACCAGACUCCUACGGGAGGCAGCAGUGAGGAAUAUUGGUCAAUGGGCGGGAGCCUGAACCAGCCAAGUCGCGUGAAGGAAGAAGGAUCUAUGGUUCGUAAACUUCUUUUGCAGGGGAAUAAAGUGCAGGACGUGUCCUGUUUUGUAUGUACCCUGAGAAUAAGGAUCGGCUAACUCCGUGCCAGCAGCCGCGGUAA
rnacentral:rRNA from 1 species